AUGGGACGGCCCGCUGGGCUGUUCCCGCCCCUAUGCCCUUUUUUGGGUUUCCGGCCAGAGGCAUGCUGGGAGCGUCACAUGCAAAUUGAGCGUGCACCCAGCGUUCCGCCCUUUCUACGCUGGGCCGGUUAUCGACCCGGCCCAGUGCGCAGGCGCGGGAAAGUUGAACUAAUAAAGUUUGUACGAGUUCAGUGGAGGAGACCGCAAGUUGAGUGGAGGAGGCGGCGGUGGGGCCCCGGACCAGGUGCCUCCAUGGCAGGCUCUGAAGAGCUGGGGCUCCGGGAAGACACGCUGAGGGUCCUAGCUGCCUUCCUUAGGCGUGGUGAGGCUGCCGGGUCUCCUGUUCCAACUCCACCUAGGUAAGAGGAGUGGCCCUUCUCCCCCAGGGGCCAGCAUUUGAGGCUCCCUCCUAACUCUUGCUCCUGGUCUCAGUCUGUCUCCUCUCUUUAUAUCUGGCUCUAUUCUCUGUCUUUGGGGUUUUGGAGAGAGGUCCUCAGCGGGGGAGGGAGGGAGUUGGGGAAAGAGACUGCUUGCAGGGGAUCUCUGGUGGGGUCAGUCUCUGAAGUCCUCCUCUCCAGAAGCCCUGCCCAAGAAGAGCCAACAGACUUCCUGAGCCGCCUUCGAAGAUGUCUUCCCUGCUCCCUGGGGCGAGGAGCAGCCCCCUCUGAGUCCCCUCGGCCUUGCUCUCUGCCCAUCCGCCCCUGCUAUGGUUUAGAGCCUGGCCCAGCUACUCCAGACUUCUAUGCUUUGGUGGCCCAGCGGCUGGAACAGCUGGUCCAAGAGCAGCUGAAAUCUCCGCCCAGCCCAGAAUUACAGGGUCCCCCAUCGACAGAGAAGGAAGCCAUACUGCGGAGGCUGGUGGCCCUGCUGGAGGAGGAGGCAGAAGUCAUUAACCAGAAGCUGGCCUCGGACCCCGCCCUGCGCAGCAAGCUGGUCCGCCUGUCCUCCGACUCUUUCGCCCGCCUGGUGGAGCUGUUCUGUAGCCGGGAUGACAGCUCUCGCCCAAGCCGAGCAUGCCCCGGGCCCCCGCCUCCUUCCCCGGAGCCCCUGGCCCGCCUGGCCCUAGCCAUGGAGCUGAGCCGGCGCGUGGCCGGGCUGGGGGGCACCCUGGCCGGACUCAGCGUGGAGCACGUGCACAGCUUCACGCCCUGGAUCCAGGCCCACGGGGGCUGGGAGGGCAUCCUGGCUGUUUCACCCGUGGACUUGAACUUGCCAUUGGACUGAGCUCUUUCUCAGAAGCUGCUACAAGAUGACACCUCAUGUCCCUGCCCUCUUCGUGUGCUUUUCCAAGUCUUCCUAUUCCACUCAGGGCUGUGGGGUGGUGGUUGCCCUACCUGUUUUUGCCAAAAAUAAAUUGUUUAAAACUUUUCUUAUUAAAAACGUUACAAAGUA
rnacentral:misc_RNA from 1 species